rnacentral:rRNA from 1 species
AGUCGAACGAGAAAGGGGAGCAAUCCCUGAGUAAAGUGGCGUACGGGUGAGUAACACGUGGGUAAUCUGCCCUUUGGUGGGGAAUAACCCUGGGAAACCGGGGCUAAUACCGCAUAAGUCCGAGAGGAGAAAGCAGCAAUGCGCCGAAGGAGGAGCCCGCGGCCGAUUAGCUAGUUGGUAGGGUAAGAGCCUACCAAGGCAAAGAUCGGUAGCCGGCCUGAGAGGGCACACGGCCACACUGGCACUGAAACACGGGCCAGACUCCUACGGGAGGCAGCAGUGGGGAAUCUUGCACAAUGGGGGAAACCCUGAUGCAGCGACGCCGCGUGAGCGAUGAAGCCCUUCGGGGUGUAAAGCUCUUUCGGCAGGGAAGAUGAUGACGGUACCUGCAGAAGCAGCUGCGGCUAACUACGUGCCAGCAGCCGCGGUAAUACGUAGGCAGCAAGCGUUGUUCGGAGUUACUGGGCGUAAAGGGUGUGUAGGCGGUUUGGUAAGUCUGGUGUGAAAUCUCCCGGCUCAACUGGGAGGGUGCGCCGGAAACUGCCGGACUCGAGUGCGGGAGAGGAGAGUGGAAUUCCUGGUGUAGCGGUGAAAUGCGUAGAUAUCAGGAGGAACACCUGUGGCGAAAGCGGCGCACUGGACCAUAACUGACGCUGAGGCGCGAAAGCUAGGGGAGCAAACAGGAUUAGAUACCCUGGUAGUCCUAGCCCUAAACCAUGGAUGCUUGGUGUAGCCGGUACCCAAUCCGGCUGUGCCGUAGCUAACGCGAUAAGC